rnacentral:rRNA from 1 species
GAUGAACGCUGGCGGCGUGCUUAACACAUGCAAGUCGAACGAAGCAUCCGCGACAGUUUGUUUCGGACUGGAGUCGCUUAUGACUGAGUGGCGGACGGAUGAGGAACUCGUGGGUAACCUGACUUGUGGUGGGGGAUAGUAACAGGAGACAGCUGCUAAUACCGCAUAGGCGCGGAUUGUUGCAUGACGUGGUGUGAAAAGGUCGGGUGGCAUAGGAUGGACUCGCGUCGGUUUAGCUAGUUGGUGAGGUAGCAGCCCACCAAGGCGACGAUCAGUAGCCGAGCUGAGAGGGUGACCGGUCACAUUGGGACUGAGACACGGACCAGACUCCUACGGGAGGCAGCAGUGGGGAAUAUUGCACAAUGGAGGAAACUCUGAUGCAGCGGCGCCGCGUGAGUGAAGAAGUAAUUCGUUAUGUAAAGCUCUAUGAGCAGGGAAGAUAGUGACGGUACCUGACAAAGAAGCACCGGCUAAAUACGUG